rnacentral:rRNA from 1 species
AUUGAACGCUGGCGGCAGGCCUAACACAUGCAAGUCGAACGGUAACAGGCUGUAUGGGAUCCCUUCGGGGUGAACUUGGCGCUGACGAGUGGCGAACGGGUGAGUAACACGUAGGAAUCUACCCAGGAGUGGGGGACAACCCGGAGAAAUCCGGGCUAAUACCGCAUACGCCCUACGGGGUAAAGUGGGGGACCUCUUCGGAGGCCUCACGCUUUUGGAUGAGCCUGCGUCGGAUUAGCUUGUUGGUGAGGUAACGGCUCACCAAGGCGACGAUCCGUAGCUGGUCUGAGAGGAUGACCAGCCACACUGGGACUGAGACACGGCCCAGACUCCUACGGGAGGCAGCAGUGGGGAAUAUUGGACAAUGGGGGAAACCCUGAUCCAGCCAUGCCGCGUGUGUGAAGAAGGCCUUCGGGUUGUAAAGCACUUUCAGUAGGGAAGAAAAGCCUAAGGUUAAUACCCUUGGGUCUUGACGGUACCUACACAAGAAGCACCGGCUAAUUCCGUG